rnacentral:rRNA from 1 species
CAAUAGCGUAUAUUAAAGUUGUUGCAGUUAAAAAGCUCGUAGUUGGAGUUCAGAGUGAGCUCAGCCGGUCGGGAUUAUGUCUCAGAACUGGUUGACUCUCUCUUGUUUGUGGAUCCUGUUCGGAGUUAACUCGUCGGAUGUGGAGUCCACAUCGUUUACCUUGAAAAAAUUAGAGUGUUCAAAGCAGGCGUUUGCUUGAAUAUAUUAGCAUGGAAUAAUGGAAUAGGACGCUGGUUCUAUUUUGUUGGUUUCUAGGACAUACGCAAUGAUUAAUAGGGACAAUUGGGGGCAUUCGUAUUAACGCGUCAGAGGUGGAAUUCUUAGAUUGCGUUACGACGAACUACUGCGAAAGCAUUUGCCAAGGAUGUUUUCAUUGAUCAAGAACGAAAGUAUGGGAUCGAAGACGAUUAGAUACCAU